rnacentral:pre_miRNA from 14 species
GUCUAGGACCCCUGGGUGGUCGCGCCGAUCCCGGACGAGCCCCCAAAUGAAAGACCCCUGAAGGGAGCCCCCCACUCAAGUCUCGGGAAAGACGCGCACCCAGUAGGACACAGACACCG